UACCGUUUCUCAUAAAUACAGUUGAAUACUGUAAAUAAACAUUAAUAUGACAAACAAAAUAAUAACAGCAAGCUCCUGUUCAGUCUUACGGGAUAAUACAGUAUUUUUUGGUUUGGUCAGGCAUGUCAGACAUGUGACGAGCUCAUCUGCAACCAUGAGUAAAACUGAUUUAACUACACUGUUUUUCUGCAUUUUAUUAUACGAGAAGGAAGCAGAAUUAAAGACUGUCUAUCCAUUUUCACUCCGAUUGUGACCCUACCAGCACUGAGACGGACGACGAAUUCACUUGUUUUUUACUCCUCGCCUGUAUAUCAAGUUGCUGGUGAUGAAGUAACAUUUGGAGGUUGGAUGAUCAGCAGUGAAAACAUCAUCAUCUGUGAAGGCAAGAUGAAGCUGCGAGGACACUGGAGUUUGUUCAAAGAUGCUUAAUUGGUGUGAACCCUAAGAGGUGAACAAAAGCCAGGCAGGUGAAGGUGUCCGAGAAGACAGGAAAGCUUGUCCAGAAAAACGCAGCAACUGUUAAUCCCCAUGUGACCACCCUCAUCAAAAACUUCAUGGACUUUGAGUGGCUUUCACAUUGUAUUCUGCAGUGUUGUGAUAUUUAUGUGACAUCACAGCAUUAUGUUUUAUUCAGCCCAGUCUCAUUAGUGAGGCAGAAACUGACAUUUAAGAAUGCACUGAAUUUUGUUAUAUUUAAUAAAAACAGUGUUUUAUCAUCAUCCUUUGUUUGAGAAUUUUUUUGCAAGCAAUUUUAAGUGUUUAUUUUAAAAUUACAUUUUAACAAUGCUAGAAAAAUCACAUUCUACAGUAUAAAUAACAGCAGGAACCCUAAAAUAACAGUAUAAUGCAUCCAAACAUCUGACAGUAUUAUACUGUGCAGCUCCCUUUUUUUACAGUACUGUCUCGUAAUAUUUGUACAGUAAAAAACUGUUGUUGUAAAUUACAGUAGGUAAUCUGUAAAAUUACAACUAUAUGCUGGCAAAUCUAGCUGCCAGUAUAUUACUGUAAUUUAACAGUGAAAUUUUU